AGCGAACGCUGGCGGCAGGCUUAACACAUGCAAGUCGAGCGGGUCCUUCGGGGUCAGCGGCGGACGGGUGAGUAACGCGUGGGAACGUGCCUUCUGGUUCGGAAUAACCCUGGGAAACUAGGGCUAAUACCGGAUACGCCCUUUUGGGGAAAGGUUUACUGCCGGAAGAUCGGCCCGCGUCUGAUUAGCUAGUUGGUGGGGUAACGGCCUACCAAGGCGACGAUCAGUAGCUGGUCUGAGAGGAUGAUCAGCCACACUGGGACUGAGACACGGCCCAGACUCCUACGGGAGGCAGCAGUGGGGAAUAUUGGACAAUGGGCGCAAGCCUGAUCCAGCCAUGCCGCGUGAGUGAUGAAGACCUUAGGGUUGUAAAGCUCUUUUAUCCGGGACGAUAAUGACGGUACCGGUGGAAUAAGCCCCGGCUAACUUCGUGCCAGCCGCCGCGGUAA
rnacentral:rRNA from 1 species